GCUCCAAGGGGGGCUGUGGAUCCUGUGGGGGCUGUGGAUCCUGUGGAGGUUCCAAGGGGGGCUGUGGCUCCUGUGGGGGCUGUGGCUCCUGUGGGGGCUCCAAGGGGGGCUGUGGAUCCUGUGGGGGCUCCAAAGGCAGCUGUGGCUGCAGUGGGGGAUGUAAGGGGAGCUGUGGCUCCUGUGGCUGCUCCCAGUCCAGCUGCUGCAAGACCUGUUGCUCCCAGUCCAGCUGCUGUGUCCCUGUUUGCUGCUCCCAGUGCAGCUGUUGCAAACCCUGCUGCUCCCAGUCCAGCUGCUGCAAGCCCUGCUGCUCCCAGUCCAGCUGCUGUGUCCCUGUUUGCUGCUCCCAGUGCAGUUGUUGCAAGCCCUGCUGCUCCCAGUCCAGCUGCUGUGUCCCCAUUUGCUGCCAGUGCAAGAUCUGAGACUCUGGCCACAGACCUCAAGUAGCUCCUAAAGAUCUGUGCUUUCCAUUGAGUGACUAUAGACACAUCCUGACCCCUCAAGCACUCUUUCUCCAGGUGCUGGACAACUGGAGUCUCCCUGCUCAGGAUUUUUCCCCCAGCCCUUGAGGGAAAGAAGUGGACCCCUCUGUUAUCAUUCCCUAAAGAGGAUCCAAUCCUCCAGGCACUUUGCAUUUCCUACCCAUGUGCCUAGUGCCUGAGCCAAAUGCUACCUGGGAAUGGCCCCAGGCCAGGGAGGCAGCUGAAAUUCCUGUUUCUGAUCACUCCAUGGGAAGCACCAAACCUUGGCUUUCCUCCACCUGCUGGGAGCUUUAUUACCUUUGCAUAUGAAUGUCUCAUGUAACUUUCUGGAUUAAAACAAGUGUAUUAAGAUCCAGUAUGAAUCUGGGUGCACCACCAAAUAAAUUCUCCACCCAUAAGCCUUGAUUUCACUGUGACCCUUUCCUUCUGGCCUCUGUCUCAUUAGCAAAUUGAUUGUGCUUCCUCCUCUCACUGCCUGAUACAGCACUCCUCCCCAGGUGUUCACGCUGUCACUCCAGUGCUGGGCUCAGUAGUCAUUUUACAAACACUUGUUAAAUUAACUAAUGAAGGAAGGAAUCACUAAAUGGAUGUAUGAAUGUGAAGAAUGUAUGAGUGAAUGAAAGAAUAUCUCUUAUUAGUAUAGAGGGUCCCAGUUGAGUCUAAAUGGGAUUCAGAGUUUGUCUUUGUUGGAAUAGUGGAUGCUGCUCCUUUCCCCUGAGAUGAUCUGCGUGGAGGAGAGGAGGUCUUUUCUCUCAGAGCCUAGGAAGGGAGCAAACGGGUGGUCUUCGUGCCCAUCGAGGCCCCAGAGCAGGAGUCAACCCAGAGAGAGGGAAGUGAGUCUAAAAGGAACUCUGUUCCUGGGAUGUUCUGUAAGACAAAAAUGGAAAUUGCACUGCUUCUGAGACAGUGUGACUCAGCAUGGGGUGAGGAGCACUCUCUCCAUUACUGGGCUCUGUUACUGGGAGUCAACCACUCACAGAUUUCACAGCUUUGCUUCUGCACAGGGCGGAACAGAAGGGAGCUUCCUCAACCUGGUAAAGGGCAUCCACCCAACCCUCAGCCGACAUCACAUGGCAGGGUGAAAGCCUGGAUGUUUUCCCUCUAAUAUCGCAACAAGAAAAGGAUGCCCACAUUCACUACUUCUAUCCAACAUUGCACUGAAGUCCUUGCCACGGUAAAAAGGCAACAAAAAGAGAUGAAAGGCAUCCAGGUUGGGAAGGAAGAAGUAAAACUGUCUCUAUUCACAGAAGACAUGAUCUUGUAUAUAGAAAAUCCCAAGGAACACACAGACACACACACAACUAUUAGAGCUAAUAUGUGAACCCAGCAGGUUGCAGGAUACAACACCAAUAUACAAAAAUCAGUUGUAUUUCUACACACCAGCAAUGAGCCAUCAAAAUUUAAAUCAAGAAAGCAGUCUCUUCAAAAAGAACAAAAUGCUUAAGAAUAAACUUAACAAAAGAAGGGAAAGACUUGUGCACUGCAAACUGUGAACAUUGGUGAAAGGAGUGAAAGAAGCCCAGGAGAAAUGGGAGGAUGCCGGGUGCUCACGCAUCAGGAGACUCAAUACUCUUAGGAAGACAAUACUUCAAAAAUCAAUCUGCAGAUUCAAAGCAAUCCCUAUCAAGACCCCAGGUCGCUUUUUUCAGAAACUGACAAGCUGAUCCUAGAAUUCAUAUGUAAAUUCAAGAACCCCAAAUAACCAAAACAACCUUGAAAAAGAAAACCAAAGUUGGAGGACUCACACCUCCCAAUUUCAAAAAGUAGUAUGAAGCUACAGUAACCAAGGCAGUGUGGUCCUUGCUUAAGGAAAGAUGUAGAGAUCAAUAGAAUAGAACUGCGAGUCUGGAGAUAAACUCUCACAAUUAUGGCCAAUUGAUUUUCAACAAGAAUGCUGAAGCGAUUCAAUGGGAAGAGUCUUUUCAACAAAUGGUGCUGAAACUACUAGAUAUCGACGUGCAAAAGAAUGAAGUAAUGAAGGUGGACCUUUACCUCAUAUUACAUAUAUUGAAAAAAAAUCCUCUAAAUGGAUCAAUGACCUAAUUGUAAAAGCCAAAAUGAUAAACUAUAAAACUCUUAGAAGGAAACCUGGUUAAGUCUUUGUGACCUUGGAUUAGAUAAUAGCUCUUAGAUAUGACACCAAAAGCAUGGGGAAAAAAAAGAAAAACUAGAUAUUUUGGACUCCAUUGAAAUUAAAAAUUUUUGUCCUUCAACGGACACUAUCAAACAAUGAAAAGACAACCCUCAGACUGAGAGAAAAUAUUUGAAAAUCAUAUACUUGACAAUUGACUUGUAUCCAGAAUACAUAAAGAACUCUUACUACUCAAAAAUAAAAAGACAAAACCCAAUUAAAAACUUAGCAAAGGAUUUGAAUAGGAUUCCUCCAAAGAAGAUACACAAAUGGCUAAUAAGCACAUGAAAAGAAGCUCAACAUCAUUAGGCAACAGGGAAAUGCACGCCAAAACCACAAUUCAUACCACCUCUCACCCCCUAGGAAGGCUAUGGCCCAAAAGACAGACAGUAGGGGCUGGCCCCAUGGCCUAGUGGUUAAGUUUGGCACACUCUGCUUUGGCGGCCCAGGUUUGGUUCCCGGGUGUGGACCUACACCACUUGUCGACAGUCAUGCUGUGCUGGAGACCCACAUACAAAAUAGAGGAAGAUUGGCACAACUGUUAGCUCAGGGUGAAGCUUUUUCAACAAGAGAAAACAAAGGACAGACAAUAACAAUUGUUGGUGAGGAUGUGGAGAAAUUUUGGAGCACCUGUGCACUGCUGAUAAGAAGAGAAAAUGGCGCAGCUACUUUGAAAACCGUUUUGGCAGUUCCUCAAAUGUUAAAUAUAAAGUUAGCACAAGAUCCAGAAAUUCUACUGCUAGGCAUAUACCCAAGAGAAUUGGAAACACACGUCACACAAAAAUUUGUGGGAAAUGUUCCUAGUAGCAUUAUUCAUAAUUGCCAAAAAAGUGGAAAUAUCCAAAUGUCCAUCAACCAAUGAAUGGAUAAACAAAAUGUGGUCUAUCCAUACAAUGGAAUAUUAUUCAGCCCUAAAAAGGAAUCGGAUCCACGCUACCACAUAAACAAGCUUUGAGAACCUUAUGCGAGGGAAAAGAAGCCAGACACAAAAGGCCACGGAUGAUCCGAUUCCACUUACAGGAAAUGUCCAGAAUAGGUGAAGCUAUAGAGCCAGAAAGCAGAUUAGUAUCUUCCAGGGGCUGCGUGGAAACGGAGGAGUGGACACUGCCUGGUAACAUAUAUGGAGUGUCAUUUGGGGGUGAUAAAAAUGUUCUGGAAUUAGAUGGUAGUGAUGGUUGUAUAACUUUGUGAAAAAACCACUGAGUUGUACACUUCAAAGUGUUAAUUUUAUGGUGUAUGACUUAUGUCUCUAUUUUCAAAUGCACGUGAUACGACUCUGUUUCAGGAAUAACGUGCAUAUGUUUAAGAUAGUUUUCAAUACUAAAUGAUCUUACCAGGUCACCUUGUGAUUUCCAUUGAAAA
rnacentral:lncRNA from 1 species